AUUGUACUUCAUCUGUUCGAAAAUACUUGUCAUCAAAAUGGAUAAAAAGGGAUGUAUGAUACAUCCCUUUUUAUCCAUUUUGAUGACAAGUAUUUCCGGAGGUAGUAUUAA
rfam:Triticum aestivum genome assembly, contig: Triticum_aestivum_CS42_TGACv1_scaffold_374507_5AL